rnacentral:sRNA from 1 species
CCUAGAUACACGCCGUGGGUGGAGGCGGGGGACCCAACGUACGUGACCGCUUCGGUGGUCUUGGGGUGAAGCCAGCGCGACUGGCCGGGUACUCACGAACCCGAACCCGACAGCUCACCUCGAAGGCGCUCACCGUGAGAGGUC